ensembl:rRNA 5S_rRNA 5S ribosomal RNA
UACAGCCAUACCACCCUGAAUGCGCCCCAUCUCGUCUGAUGUCGCAAGCUAAGCAGGGUCAGGCCUGGUUAGUACUUGGAUGGGAGGUUAGGAGAGACUUCAGCUGAAUCUGUAA